rnacentral:lncRNA from 1 species
UGGCUUGAUUCACUGCGUUCUCUCUCCUUAGCGUACCAUGCCUCAAUCUUGAUCCAGCAGCCCCAUGCCACAGAGGUAAUAGUGGGUCAUUCAACAACGCUGAAGUGCUUCCUGACGGACAGUGAGACUUCCAAACGGCUAAACUGUUAUUAUGUAACUUGGAUUAGAGUACAAUCGAUGAGACGGACAAUGGACGUUAUCACCUCUAAUAAGCAAUAUAAUGAGCAGACAAAUUCGUGCGAUUUAACCAUUACCACUGCGACCCUGGAAGAUACUGGGCUGUAUUAUUGCUCCAGUCCAGAAGCCAAGACAUUUAAAGGCAAUGGCUCAAAGGUAACGGUAGUGGGUAAUGUCAACCCCUCUGUCGAGCUUUUCUCGCCAUCGGAGUUUCCUGACCCCAACAUCCCGCUCAUCUGUUGGGCGAAGGGUACCGUCCCAUCUCAGGUUCGCAUAUUCUGGGUCGUUAAUGGAGAAGAACACAUCGGGUGGACCGAGUCGGUGUGGACAAAACAGAAUGAUCUAACCACGGAGUUCACGCAGAGCCGAUUUUGGCUUUCGAAGUCGGACUGGGAUACUGGGGAACAGUGCACGUGUGUUGUCGAAGCUGGCGGGAAGAACAUCUCCAAAAGCAUCCAGAGGCCCGGGAAAGACAUUUGCUUAUUCCUGAUGUAUGGGGUCUCUGGCGCCGCACUUUUUAUGAUUAUGGUAUCCGUCACCACAGUCUUAGUUUUACUCAAGGGACACCGGAUUAAAGAAAUUCAGGAAAAGAACCGCAGAAGGCUGAACACUGGUAACAAUUUCUAAUAAUGAUUACAUAACCAACACUGCAACUCUUUGAAUUAAUAAUUAUUACCCCAGGUGUGCCGGCACCAAACCAUAAGUACCAUCCAGACCCAAUAAGUCUUAAACAAAUAUGUAUCAAAUUAAUGUCAUUUUAAUAACAGGUCAGGACUAAAUUGUAUAUAUUUUUUUAAGGCAAACGUGGAAAAUACCGCACAAAGAAAUCUUCUGUCACAGUGAGUAAUGUUGAAUUAAGAAGCCUGGAGGGCAACAUGGGUGAUACAGUACCUAAACCCAUAUGGAACAGGUCUCAUAGACAUAGGAAUCACACUUGUCAUGUGCAAUAUUUGCAUGAUAAAUCUGUGGUAAAGAGCUUGCAUAUACAUUUCAUACUAAAAUGUUAUAAUGCCCUUCAAAUGCAAGGUAGGCCAUAUAUAAAAAAUAUUUUUUCUGUUACUGUGUAUAAAAGGGGCCAUAAUUAUGUGUGUUAACACACAGUUAUAUGCUAUACAGAAAUAAACAUAUAUGAAUUUCAAAGACUUUUCCCUUA